rnacentral:rRNA from 1 species
CUUUAUUGGAGAGUUUGAUCCUGGCUCAGGACGAACGCUGGCGGCAUGCCUAAUACAUGCAAGUCGAGCGGACUUGAAGAGAAGCUUGCUUCUCUGAUGGUUAGCGGCGGACGGGUGAGUAACACGUAGGCAACCUGCCCUCAAGCUUGGGACAACUACCGGAAACGGUAGCUAAUACCGAAUACUUGUUUUCUUCGCCUGAAGAGAAUUGGAAAGACGGAGCAAUC